rnacentral:rRNA from 1 species
GACGAACGCUGGCGGCGUGCCUAAUACAUGCAAGUAGAACGCUGAAGGAGGAGCUUGCUUCUCUGGAUGAGUUGCGAACGGGUGAGUAACACGUAGGUAACCUGCCUGGUAGCGGGGGAUAACUAUUGGAAACGAUAGCUAAUACCGCAUAAUAGCAGUUAUUGCAUGAUAACUGUUUGAAAGUUGCAAUUGCACCACUACCAGAUGGACCUGCGUUGUAUUAGCUAGUUGGUGGGGUAACGGCUCACCAAGGCGACGAUACAUAGCCGACCUGAGAGGGGGAUCGGCCACACUGGGACUGAGACACGGCCCAGACUCCUACGGGAGGCAGCAGUAGGGAAUCUUCGGCAAUGGACGGAAGUCUGACCGAGCAACGCCGCGUGAGUGAAGAAGGUUUUCGGAUCGUAAAGCUCUGUUGUAAGAGAAGAACGAGUGUGAGAGUGGAAAGUUCACACUGUGACGGUAUCUUACCAGAAAGGGACGGCUAACUACGUG